ensembl:snRNA U2 U2 spliceosomal RNA
AUCACUCCUUGGCCUUUUGACUAAGAUCAAGUACAGCAUCUAUUAUUAUCGGUUUAAUGUCUGAUGCAUAUCUGUCUGGGGAUUAUGUAUUAAAUGGGUUUUUGGAACUAGAAGAUGGUCUAACAGCUUGCUCCUUCCUUUCCAAAAAGUGUGUCCAGGAACUCCUU